ACGAACGCUGGCGGCGUGGAUUAGGCAUGCAAGUCGAGCGACGGCCCCUCGGGGCACGGAGCGGCGAACGGGUGAGUAACACGUGAACAAUCUGUCCUCACGUUCCGGAUAGCGCACCGAAAGGUGCAGUAAUACGGGAUCGGGUCACUGGGAGGCAUCUCCUGGUGAAGGAACACGCAAGUGGUGCGAGGAGGAGUUCGCGACCUAUCAGCUAGUUGGCGGGGUAACGGCCCACCAAGGCGACGACGGGUAGCUGGUCUGAGAGGAUGGUCAGCCACAUUGGGACUGAGACACUGCCCCAGA
rnacentral:rRNA from 1 species